rnacentral:lncRNA from 1 species
GCGUUAACUAACUCAGCUGACGUAUUUACGUCGCUGUUGCGCAAUGUUGUUUAAAUAGCAGUUCUGAUAAUCUCAUUGAAGUAAAGUACACUAAUUAGGACCUGUUUAGUAGAAAUAGUAUCAUCUCGAGGUUCAAAGCGUGUUUGUACCAAUCCACGGAAAAUCCAGUAUUUUGCAUUUCCUCCUAAAAAUUGGAUGCUCCCGCGUCUUUGGAUCUCAGUUUGCAUGAGAAAAUACCCAAAUAAUAUUAAGAAUGCCAAGAUUUGUGAUAGCAUUUUAUAUCCAAUAAUUUUGAGCGGAAUCUUGAGGCUGAACUUAUUGACAUAAAGGCCAUUCAGAUGGACCCAAAUCCUCCAGUGAUAUUUGUAAGGAAACUUGCGAAAAAAAGAACUUGUGAAACAAAUUAUGGAAGCAAGUAAGGUCCAGGAAACCAGUAUGGACUCGGAAACAGAGACUGAUAAUGAAGGGCUCAUGUAAAUUUGUAGAGAUAUCCCUGAAUCCCAACAAGAGCCUUUGACCAAGAAGCAAAGUAAUCAGAUUCACGUAUACAAAUUUUAGAAGCGCAAAAAAAUGCAAAAAGAACUUUAUUUUUCCAAAAAGGAAUUGCGCCGGUACAAAACCAAGUCCAAGUUACUAAACUCAAAGAAGUUUAAUCAAACUUUAACAAGGACCACCUUAGAAAAGAGCUACCCCAAGUAAGAAGAAUUAUAGAUCCCUUAAAGAAUUUCAAUCGAAGAUACUCAAAAGAGGAUGUAAAAACAUUCCAAAACUUUUCAUUGUAACCAUGAAGACCCAAUCGACGAAAACCCAAACGUCCUUGAAAGGCUGCAUAAUCAUCAAAUUGAAUUAUAUCCUAAUUGGCCAAAAGAAGUCAUCAUAUCCUUUGUGAAAACAAGGACAAGAAUUAAAGUAAAUAACCUUAAUAAAAAGCUGAAACUGAAGAACGCAACUGCUAAUCUAAGAAAACUUAGACAGAUUGGUCAAUUUACAAAUUAAAAAGGCCUGAUUUGAAAAAUCAAUUCAUGAAAAGACGGGAUUCUGAAGUAAAAAUAUGUAUAUUAUUACAGGAUUGGAUAUGUGAGUAAGCCUGAUUCCGACAACAGCUAGAUGAAGGAUAAAUUGGCGCAAAAUCCCCCUUGAAUCCUGCAACGAAGGAGAAACACUUUAGCACCGAAUUGCGAAAUCCUGAUCUCCCAUUAGUAGUAGUGAUGAGGCCUACUUCUAACAAGACUCCAGAGGAUCUCGCCUUUUAGAUUUGCUCCAACUACUAAUAUGGACGUUGAACUGUCUUUAAGUAUGUUUAAAUCUACAAAUACUGAUCGAAGGCAAAAAUUAACGGUAGAAAACAUUUAUAAAAUAUUAAUUUGUCGAUAUAAUAUAGCAUAAUUUAUGAUAAAUAUAAAACAACAGUAAUUAUUUUAAA